GAUGAACGCUGGCGGCGUGCCUAAUACAUGCAAGUCGAGCGAACGGACGAGAAGCUUGCUUCUCUGAUGUUAGCGGCGGACGGGUGAGUAACACGUGGAUAACCUACCUAUAAGACUGGGAUAACUUCGGGAAACCGGAGCUAAUACCGGAUAAUAUUUUGAACCGCAUGGUUCAAAAGUGAAAGACGGUCUUGCUGUCACUUAUAGAUGGAUCCGCGCUGCAUUAGCUAGUUGGUAAGGUAACGGCUUACCAAGGCAACGAUGCAUAGCCGACCGGAGAGGGUGGUCGGCCACACUGGAGCUGAGACACGGUCCAUACUCCUACGGGAGGCAGCAGUAGGGAAUCUGCCGCAAUGGGCGAGAGCCUGACGGAGCAGCGCCGCGUGAGUGAUGAAGGUCUUCGGAUCGUAAAACUCUGUUAUUAGGGAAGAACAUAUGUGUAAGUAACUGUGCACAUCGUGACGGUACCUAGUCAGAAAGCCACGGCUAACUACGUG
rnacentral:rRNA from 1 species